GACGAACGCUGGCGGCGUGCCUAAUACAUGCAAGUUGAGCGCUGAAGGUUGGUACUUGUACCGACGGGAUGAGCAGCGAACGGGUGAGUAACGCGUGGGGAAUCUGCCUUUGAGCGGGGGACAACAUUUGGAAACGAAUGCUAAUACCGCAUAAAAACUUGAAACAUAAGUUUUAAGUUUGAAAGAUGCAAUUGCAUCACUCAAAGAUGAUCCCGCGUUGUAUUAGCGAGUUGGUGAGGUAACGGCUCACCAAGGCGAUGAUACAUAGCCGACCUGAGAGGGUGGUCGGCCACCAUGGGACGGAGACACGGCCCAAACUCCUACGGGGGGCAGCAGUAGGGAAUCUUCGGGAAUGGACGACAGACUGACCGAGCAACGCCGCGUGAGGGGAGAAGGUUGUCGGAUCGUAGAACUCUGUUGGUAGAGAAGAACGUUGGUGAGAGUGGAAAGCUCAUCAAGUGACGGUAACGUCACAGAAAGCGACGGCUAACUACGUG
rnacentral:rRNA from 1 species